rnacentral:rRNA from 1 species
GACGUAGGGCGCGAGCGUUGUCCGGAUUUAUUGGGCGUAAAGAGCUCGUAGGCGGCUUGUCGCGUCGUCUGUGAAAUCCCGCGGCUCAACCGCGGGUCUGCAGUCGAUACGGGCAGGCUAGAGUUCGGUAGGGGAGACUGGAAUUCCUGGUGUAGCGGUGAAAUGCGCAGAUAUCAGGAAGAACACCCGUGGCUAAGGCGGCUCUCUAGUACGGUACUGACGCUGAGACGCGAAAGCGUGGGGAGCGAACAGG